AUCACCUAUAACUUUUCAGCAGAGGAACCGCUGUCUUGGUCCAUAACAAACUUGCAUCCGUUCAGAAAUUACACGGUGUAUAUAGCUGCCUAUACAAUUAUGAUAGGGUCGUACUCCGAUGUAAACAUGUCCACUCUUGAAGAUAUUCCAGGUUAACCCGUAGAUUUAAAAUACACUAAACUGUAUGCUCACUUCAUUGAUCUGGAUUGGUUGCCAGCGUAUGAGCGCAAUGGAAUCGUGAGGAACUACACAGUAAAGUAUGCUUACAAAGAACGAAAGUGUCGUGACAUUGUUGACAUAAAAGAAGCUAUACCACAUACUCGCACACACGAGAGUAACAUGACGGAACAUAUAUUUCCAUUUUGGAGGUACGAUAUAUCAGUCCGAGCAACAAAUAAUAUCGGGCAGGGAAUUUUUCCGAUGUGCUGGUUGUUCAAACACACGAAUGAACUCCCAGUGGUAUAAAUACCACCAACAGCAGUUCAGUUCAUGCACGCAAUGCCACGAUACAGUGGAUGGAUCCAUGUUAUGCAAACGGAAUACUGACACGAUUUUACGUGGAACUGUUGAAUUCAUCAAGUGUGAAUUUCAUAAAUGAAACUUGGGUUUCUACAUUCGCAACGAACGCUUCCAUACACGAACAUUUUUGUAAUGAUUUGCUUCCGUUUAGAAAUAAUUCUUUACGUGUAAAGGCGGCAACACACGCUGGUAACGGAACGUAUGACAUCUCACUCAAUUUCACGUCAAAAAUCGAUGUUCCGAUUGCCCCAAGUGAGUUACGCCAAGGCAAAAUCGAAUCGUCCGCCGUAAGGAUUCAUUGGAACAGUACAAUCCAGUUUACUGGACCGACCAAAUAUAUCAUUAGUGUCACUGACGUUAGUGAUAACUCACAAUUGAAGAGUUAUGUCACAAACGAAGGAUGGUGGAUCGAUCAACUGGCUACAUACGCCGAUCUCUUUGACCUCGAUGCUUACUGGAAUUACUCCAUAGCAGUCACUGCGGAGACAUCGUAUGGACUCAGGGACCUCUACGAAGUGAAUCCUCUACAAUCAUCGUUCAGACUGCUGAAAGCGUUCCGGGAAGACUCCAGAGUCUGAUCGCCGUAUCUGAGCAAGACUUGACGAAACCGCCAAUGUUGUACGUGAAGUGGCAGGCUCCCAAAGAUAGAGAUCUUAAUGGCAUACUUGUUAGAUACAUAAUAUAUUGUUCAAAUGGAAACCAACAGAUUAACGUUAACGCUUCAACACUGAAUCAUACUAUUCCGAUAUACAUCGACAACAAAUCAAACGUGACCGUUGAGGUUCGCUCCGCAACGAGUGUUGGACAUGGAGAGUCGUUCAGCGUGACGGUCGAAGUUAAACCAGGGGCACCGGAAGAGCCUCCAGAAACCCUGUCAAAUCCUCUGACGAAAAAGGCUCAUGUUACGGUCGCUGAUGACAAACAGAUGAUUGCUGUAGAACUGUCAAAGACUUUCCUGUGUAAUAAUAAAACUGGCACACUUGUUCACUGGGGGAUAAUUAUUGCACAGGAAAGUAACGCAACAGACCUUUCUUUCGUUGGGAGUCGCGGCGAGUACGAAGCCAGAAAAAAUACCCUUUACAAGAAGUGGUCCGAAGUUAAGGACAUGGAUGACAUUCCGACAUAUUUAGCAACUGGUCCUAAUUGAAGCCCUUCAUGUC